AAGCAAAAAUCAUUUAUUGACCCAAACUUACUCUGAGCAACGGAAUAAGUUACCCUAGGGAUAACAGCCCAAUCCUAUUACAGAGUCCAUAUCGACAAUAGGGUUUACAACCUCGAUGUUGGAUCAGGAUAUCCCAAUGGUGCAACCGCUAUUAAUGGUUCGUUUGUUCAACGAUUAAAAUCUGAGUUCAGACCGGAGUAAUCCCGGUCGGUUUCUAUCU
rnacentral:ncRNA from 1 species